GAUGAACGCUAGCUACAGGCUUAACACAUGCAAGUCGAGGGGAAACGGCAUUAAGUGCUUGCACUUUUUGGACGUCGACCGGCGCACGGGUGAGUAACGCGUAUCCAACCUUCCCAUGACUAAGGGAUAACCUGCCGAAAGGCAGACUAAUACCUUAUGGUCUUCACUGACGGCAUCAGAUGUGAAGUAAAGAUUUAUCGGUUAUGGAUGGGGAUGCGUCUGAUUAGCUUGUUGGCGGGGUAACGGCCCACCAAGGCAACGAUCAGUAGGGGUUCUGAGAGGAAGGUCCCCCACAUUGGAACUGAGACACGGUCCAAACUCCUACGGGAGGCAGCAGUGAGGAAUAUUAGUCAAUGGGCGAGAGCCUGAACCAGCCAAGUAGCGUGCAGGAGGACGGCCCUAUGGGUUGUAAACUGCUUUUGUAUGGGGAUAAAGUCAAUCACGUGUGAUUGUUUGCAGGUACCAUACGAAUAAGGACCGGCUAAUUCCGUG
rnacentral:rRNA from 1 species